UACGUAGGGGGCAAGCGUUAUCCGGAUUUACUGGGUGUAAAGGGAGCGUAGACGGCAGGGCAAGUCUGGAGUGAAAGGCAGGGGCCCAACCCCUGGACUGCUCUGGAAACUGUCCGGCUGGAGUGCAGGAGGGGUAAGUGGAAUUCCUAGUGUAGCGGUGAAAUGCGUAGAUAUUAGGAGGAACACCAGUGGCGAAGGCGGCUUACUGGACUAUAACUGACGUUGAGGCUCGAAAGCGUGGGGAGCAAACAGG
rnacentral:rRNA from 1 species